AGACCCGAAACCCGGUGAUCUAGCCAUGGGCAGGUUGAAGGUUGGGUAACACUAACUGGAGGACCGAACCGACUAAUGUUGAAAAAUUAGCGGAUGACCUGUGGCUGGGGGUGAAAGGCCAAUCAAACCGGGAGAUAGCUGGUUCUCCCCGAAAGCUAUUUAGGUAGCGCCUCGUGAAUUCAUCUCCGGGGGUAGAGCACUGUUUCGGCUAGGGGGCCAUCCCGGCUUACCAACCCGAUGCAAACUGCGAAUACCGGAGAAUGUUAUCACGGGAGACACACGGCGGGUGCUAACGUCCGUCGUGAAGAGGGAAACAACCCAGACCGCCAGCUAAGGUCCCAAAGUCAUGGUUAAGUGGGAAACGAUGUGGGAAGGCCCAGACAGCCAGGAUGUUGGCUUAGAAGCAGCCAUCAUUUAAAGAAAGCGUAAUAGCUCACUGGUCGAGUCGGCCUGCGCGGAAGAUGUAACGGGGCUAAACCAUGCACCGAAGCUGCGGCAGCGACACUCAGGUGUUGUUGGGUAGGGGAGCGUUCUGUAAGUCUGCGAAGGUGGCCUGUGAGGGUUGCUGGAGGUAUCAGAAGUGCGAAUGCUGACAUAAGUAACGAUAAAGCGGGUGAAAAGCCCGCUCGCCGGAAGACCAAGGGUUCCUGUCCAACGUUAAUCGGGGCAGGGUGAGUCGAC
rnacentral:rRNA from 1 species